rnacentral:rRNA from 1 species
GGCGGCGGACGGGUGAGUAACGCGUAGGAAUCUACCCAGUAGUGGGGGACAACUCGGGGAAACUCGAGCUAAUACCGCAUACGCCCUAAGGGGGAAAGCAGGGGAUCUUCGGACCUUGCGCUAUCGGAUGAGCCUGCGUCGGAUUAGCUUGUUGGUGAGGUAAUGGCUCACCAAGGCGACGAUCCGUAGCUGGUCUGAGAGGAUGAUCAGCCACACUGGGACUGAGACACGGCCCAGACUCCUACGGGAGGCAGCAGUGGGGAAUAUUGGACAAUGGGGGAAACCCUGAUCCAGCCAUGCCGCGUGUGUGAAGAAGGCUCUAGGGUUGUAAAGCACUUUCAGUAGGGAGGAAAAGUUGAUAGCUAAUAACUGUCAGCCCUGACGUUACCUACAGAAGAAGCACCGGCAAACUCCGUGCCAGCAGCCGCGGUAAUACGGAGGGUGCGAGCGUUAAUCGGAAUUACUGGGCGUAAAGCGCGCGUAGGCGGUUUGAUAAGCUGGAUGUGAAAGCCCCGGGCUCAACCUGGGAACUGCAUCCAGAACUGUCUGACUAGAGUACAGUAGAGGUGAGUGGAAUUUCCUGUGUAGCGGUGAAAUGCGUAGAUAUAGGAAGGAACAUCAGUGGCGAANGCGGCUCACUGGACUGAUACUGACGCUGA